UUAUUACUGUGCGCAUCUGGGAUGCUCCCUUAUACCUUAUAUUAAUAAAAUAAGAAAAUGCUAUAACUGUAGCAGAUGGAGUCACCCUACAAACACAUACAAAAGUAAGAUUAGAUGUGAAUAUUGUGGACAAAAACAUCUAUCAUUAAAUUGUAAUAGGAAGAACCCCAAGUGUGGGAACUGUGGUGGAGAACAUUCCUCCCUUGAUAGUUCAUGCAUGGCCUCCCAGAUAACACAGAGAUGAACAGAAAUUCCUAAAAAAGUUAUUUUAAUGAUGAAUACUUGGAGAAGUAGAAAAAUGAAUACAUAAAGAAUUCUUGAGGAAUUAGCCACAAUGAGUUCACAUUGAAGUAUUCCUUAAGAGUUUAUUGUAAUGAAUACCUCGCGAUUUAUCAUUUGGAAUAUUUAGAGUAUUCAUAGAAAAGUCAUUUUAAAGAAUACUUGGCGAAGUAGAAAAAUAAAUACAUAAAGAAUUCUUGAGGAAUUAGCCACAAUGAGUUCACAUUGAAGUAUUCCUUAAGAGUUCAUUUCAAUGAAUACUUCGCGAUUUAUUAUUUACAAUACUUUGAGUAUUCAUCAGAAAUUACUCGAGUGUUUGGAUAAUCUCAAUUACAUUUUUAUAAUUAUAUAUCGCUUAAUAAAUGAUAAUUUAUACUUUUAUACACGAAAUGCGCUAUAUAUAAUUAACAAAACCAUAUAUUAACAAAUAUGUAUGCAUAAACAAGAAGUGUUCAUGGAUCAUCACGGGACGUUAGGUCUUCAAAGUCAACGUUGACGAUGGUUAACACUUGGAUGGGUGACCGUUUUUUCAGGUACAGAAAUUAAACAUGCUUUAACAGGUAUGACUAUGGAUUGGCUAAAACAUGGUAUAAUUUUAUUUCUCUUACAAAAUUAAUCAGAACUUUUUUUUUAAUUUUUCUGAAAAACGUUCCAAUAUUAUAAAAAUCGGAACAUUUAUCAGAAAUCUUGAAAAUAAAUUUUUUAAUUCCGUUUGAGAUAGCUACUUGGAGAAAUCCUAAUGAAUACUUUAAGAAGUUCUGAGGAAUUCUAACAAAUAAUUCUAUAUGAAUACUUUAAGAAGUCCUGAGGAAUUCGAAUCAUGGUGCAUGUAACUUCCUACGUUAUUCUUAAAGUAUUCUUCUAUGAAUUCCUCAGGAAUUACUGUUCAAAAAGGAAGACUACUUUAUGAAUUCUUUAAGAAGACACUGUGUUAUCUGGGCUUCACUUAUUAUCAACUAAUAAAUCAUGUCAUAGCCUAUGUCAAUUGUUUUUAAUUUAAUGCCAAAAGAUUAAUUAAAGACAAAAAUAUAUCUAAUGUUCACCAGGUACCUCACUUAUUCAGAGCAUCUACUUAUAUGGGAUGGUCCUUUCAGGAGAAACUUUUUUAUAAUAAAGAAAAAUAGAUUGAUUUUAAAUUCAAACAGGAGUCUGCCCUUCAAAACCAGCUCCAAUAUUAGAACCUCUAAUAAUAGUGUGACCAUCGAUCACAAGGGAUCAGAAUAGGAAACCGGGGAAGAUCUUUCACAACAAACUCCGGGAAAGGUACUAUCAACUCAGGCAGAAGGCAUGGAUACUGAAGAUCCUCCUUUUGAAAAGGACUAAACGAUAACCCGACAAUUUCCUCAAAAAAAUGGAGGAGUGAUGUUGGUACUAACGAAAGUCCGUAGGCACUAAAUUUUAAUUUUUGUGAUUAGUAAAACUGCAUCAGUAAUAAAUCUGUCAGCGCGAAAACAUAUGCGCGGUGCAAAUACAAAUAAUAAAUGAAUCUACAAUAUAAUGUCAAAUAACCUGCUAAUACACAAAAAUUAUAAUUUAGUGUUUAGGGACUUUCGUUAGUACCAACAUCACUCCUCCAUUUUUUGAGGAAAUUGUCGGGUUACCGACUAAACAUAUAAUCUUAAUAAUAACCAGAUCUCAAACCUCUAGAACAUCAACUAUGGCUGCGGUUCUCUUGACGCUACAAAUGCUUCGAAGCGUUUGAUCAAUCGAAACAAAGAAUUUUACGAACUGACCAAUCAAAGAAUGCUUCGAAACGUUUGUAGCGUCAAGUGGACUGUAGCCUAAAUCCUCGAAAGAACGAUUAAGCAUCAACGCACGGUGUUUCCAGACUCCGUUUAACCAAGAAUUUAAUUUUAUAAUAGGAAUAUAAAUUCUAAUGUUAUAAUGUGGUGACAUUGCCAAACUAUUAAAUUCUGACCAACUAAACGACAAUAAAUGGAAGGAAUUAUUAUAUUAUAUAGCUGCUGUUCAGGAAGGAAUUAAGAUGUAACAAAUACCAUCUCAGGCUGCUCAAUUACUGGCAUAUCACCCUUUGCAAAUCCUGUUUCAAUGAAUCUUAAAGUCUAACAAUGGAACUGUAAAAAUAUUCUUGGUAAAAGACACAAAUUUUCCAACAUAAUAAAAAAAUUUGAUGUAAUAUGCCUUCAGGAAACAUCUCCAAAGAAUAGUUUUGAAUUUGGUAACUUUAUAACGAUUAGAAAUGACAGAUUAGGUUUUCCAAUAGACGGUGAAACGACUAUAUUGGUGUCAAAAGAUGUCGACGUUAAAAAAUAUGAAUUACACAUACCACAUAAUUUGAAUCUGAAAUAUACAGCAAUAUUUAUUGCUAUCAAAAAUAAAAAUAACAAAGAAAUUGUAAUAAUAUCUCUUUGCAGAUCUCCUAAUCACCAUGUGAAUAAAUCGAAAUGAAAUGAAUUCUUUGCUUAUAUUAAUAAUUUAUCAGUACAUUCGGAUAUCUGCAUAUGCGGAGAUUUUAAUGCACAAAAAUCAAUGUGUAGGUCUUCUCACUGUAUUGCUGUAGGGAAAUCUAUAGAAGUCAUAGAUGCCUCUUCUUUUCUAAUUCUUAAUGACGGCUCAUACACUAGAAUCUCGGCUAAUCCCAACUACCCCAAUGUCCCAGAUCUUACACUUGUUUCUGAAAGUUUACAGUCCACCUCAGCGUGAUCAACUGGAAUAGAUCCCAUUGGAAGCGUUUUCCUAUCACGUUCAUAUUAAGUAAUAGCUCACAAGGCAAUAAGCAUUUACAUGAAUUUUCACCAGGAGAUCGAACCAGAGUGUGGAACUAUACUCAUUAUGGUCUGAAAAUGUACUGAAGAACGCUAUAAGAUCUGGCACUAAGUUGUUGAACGAAAAAGGUUCAAUGAAGAUCUUCGAUUUGAAAAAAGGAAGUUUCAAAACACACACACACACACACACACAAUAAAACACACAUACACACAAUAAAACACUAAAGACUAGAAAAUAUAAAGACAAUCCCUGGGAUGACGACUGUAAUCAAGCCGUAAGCUAAAAGGAGAAGAGAUUAUGAGCGCCUAAAGAACAGCCAUAAUCUACUGACCUACAGAAAAACUGCGGAAGAAACAAGAAUCAUCAAAAAGAAGAAAAAUGAGAACUUUAAAACAUUCGUCAACAAUCUAAAUUCAAUGUGGGCUCAAGAGAUUUUAGCUUGCCGGCGUAAUAUUCUUGCGUAAGCUACCUGCUGCGAAGGAUUAGAAGGCGCCCAUCGCGCCCCAGCGUCGUCGAACGCGCUUGGACCUUUUUCACCAUAUCUCCAACAAUUUUCAAGGAAUCACUUUGAAACUUGCAGGAGAUAUUCUCAAGACCUUAUACUUUACGAAUAUAAUACCUUAUACUUACGCAAAAAACAAAAAAUGCAUUUUCUCAAAAUUUCUGGGUGUAUGUAACCCCUUAAUAUAUAUGUGAAAGAUAUUCUUUGGCAGAUCCCCUAUAACUGUCAAGUUAUACAAUUUGUGGACUACAUUGCAAUACUAUGCUCUGACAAAGACUUAAAUGUCAUCAAAAACUCAUUAUCUAUAGCAUUCCUGAAUAUCGAAAAAUGGUUAAACUCCUUGGGGUUAGAGAUAUCCAUCCUGAAAACUCAGUGUAUAAUUUUCAACAGGAAAAGAACCUCACCUAACAGAGGAGAAUUGACAUUGGAUACAAGAUCGUUAAAACUUCAAACUGAAGCUAAGUACUUGGGAAUGGUCUUGAACAAGGGUCUGUGAUGGUGUAGUCAUAUUAAUUCACUUAAAAUAAAAACCAUGAAAUAAAAUAAUAUUCUUAAAUGGAUAGCAGAAUCCUCAUGAGGUGUUAACCCGCUAUAAUGUCUAAGGUUUUCUAAUGCCACAGUUGGAGCACAGCUGGACUAAAGCAGUAUGUGGUACAUUAGUGCUACAUGCUCCUACACCAAAUCGUUGGAGAAAAUUCUCUGCCAAUCUUUUAAAAUAGCCACUGGUCUCCCUAGAUCUACUCCAAAUAGAGUAAUAUGCAAAUUUAGCUUCCAAAAAAGCCUUAUGGGUUGAAUAAGUUCUAAAACAAACAAAUAUUUGAUUAAAUUAAUUCAAUUAAAGUGACACUAUAAUUAACAAAAUUAAAAUUAUAUAAUAACUUAAGCUAAAAAAAUUGCAGAAAGAAACAUACUAUUUAUAGUCAAAAGGUGGCCUACAAUUAGACCAUACGAAAGGCAUCUCACCAAAUGGGAUCUCCAACCAGUUUAUUCUUUUUUUCUUCAAGCUUAUAUAGACGAGGUUGAUAUUGACCUCAAAUCAAGAAAUCUAUCUCUACUUUGUGAUAACCCAAAUAAUGCAUUCAAUAAUCUUAUUACUUUUAAUAGUACAUUGGAUGAAAAAAUAGCAAUUUUUACAGAUGGUUCACACACAGAAUUGGAUGGCGAGAAUUUCUUAGUUGGCAGUGGUUUAUAUAUUCCUUAUCACAACUCUUCUUGGAAAUACAAAUCUACCCUAUUCAAGCUCCUUCACAGCUGAGUCUAUAGCUAUUCUGAAGGCUAUUGAAAUUGCAGAAAAAAAUUAUUGGAAACACAUUAACGUUUGCACCAACUCUAAAAGUAACCUAGAUGUAAUAGGGUCUUCCUCUGAGAUAUACAAGAGAUGUAUAAAAUGACAAUUAAAAAAUUUAAUCCUAUAAUGGAAACCAUUAGAACAAAGAUUAAGCGGGUAAAGGCUCAUGGAGGAUCAAUAAAAUUUUCUAGUGGUCUCACAAAAAUAUUCAGAGAAACGAGAUACGCGAAUAGGGCUGCCAAAGAUAAAGUAUUAAUAGAAGUAAUAUAGAUAAUAAAAUAACUUUCUCAGACAUAAUUAUAUCACUAGAAAAUAAUUAUGUUCAAAUUGAUGUGGACUUUCUAAAUAGGAUUAACAUUGCACUGGUAACUAUCAUAUGGAUAAGUUUUCGGAUAUUAGUAUAAUUCAAAUCUCGAAAUUCAGCUUAUCCCGAAAACAAUGUACACUGUCGAGAAUCAUAGUUGGCUUACUCUACACUAAUUCCGUAAAAAUGAAAUUUAGUUUAAGUGACUCAGCAAAAUGCGAUUGUAUUACUAUCAGGGUUCUAACCAUAUUUUUUGGGCAUGUCUCAAAUACAAUAAUGUAAGAUCUACUCUGUGCGGAAAGCUUUUGAAAUUCAAAUGUCAAUUUCCAUUUUCUACUGAAUACAUUAUAUCCAUCAUUAAUAAGAAGAUUGCAAGAGCCAUCGUCAAUUUCGUAGAUGAUAGUGACUGCGGGAAGAGUGGAUCAUUACCAUUUCAAUUCUGAAAUCAGUUGAAAAAGUGAAAGAGUAACCAAUAAAGGGUUUGAUCAACCUCCACAACCGUCGCCCUACUGAAUCAUAGAAAUCCUGGUACUUUGUCCCGUUUGGGAUAGAAAUCCAAAGGGAAAAGGAGAAGAGACUGUCGUGUUACAGUCCAGUCAUGGGCUAGUUCGAAAUGGGUCACGCGCGCAAAAUAUCUUGUAAAACCGAAAGCGGUCGUACUCGCCAAACGGAGUAUACGGCCCACGCAUACCUAUCAGAAAAAAGCCUAAAUUCACUAACUUCACUGGCAAUAGUUUUCACACGACAGUGAUGAUUUUCCAAACAUACAUACCGCCAUUGGAUCAACCAUUAUGAAUAACAAUCGUGGAUAUUUAUACUCUGCUUGGAAUAAUCAGUCGAGUAACAACUCCACAAAAACAAAUUAAUCACCGAUUUUGAGAAUACCACGACACUAACAACAAUAAUCUAUAUGAACUUUAGGCGCUAGUUGAUGAGCCAAAAUCGCUAUUUUUUGCUGGUUCUCCUUUUUUAGUAGUAUAAGAAAAAGAAAAGGGAAGAUGGCAGUUAGAGGCAACGCUUCAGUCUUUGAAUAUUGGAAACUGACAAUGACAUUAUACAAAAUCGAUAAAAUUAUAUUAAAAAAUCGUCGCCAGUGUUCAAACCCCAAAAAAUCAGACACAGCAGUUUUCUAAUCUUUCAUGAUACAUUUUUCAUUGGAAUCAUUGUAUUUGAAUGAAAUUUAACCUAGAUAUUUACAAAAUAUACAAAACAUAUAAAAACUUGUUACUCGAGAUGUUAAGUAUAUAAAAAAACUUUAC
rnacentral:lncRNA from 1 species